rnacentral:rRNA from 1 species
GAUGAACGCUGGCGGCGUGCCUAAUACAUGCAAGUCGAGCGAACAGACGAGGAGCUUGCUCCUCUGACGUUAGCGGCGGACGGGUGAGUAACACGUGGAUAACCUACCUAUAAGACUGGGAUAACUUCGGGAAACCGGAGCUAAUACCGGAUAACAUGUUGAACCGCAUGGUUCAACAGUGAAAGACGGUCUUGCUGUCACUUAUAGAUGGAUCCGCGCCGCAUUAGCUAGUUGGUAAGGUAACGGCUUACCAAGGCAACGAUGCGUAGCCGACCUGAGAGGGUGAUCGGCCACACUGGAACUGAGACACGGUCCAGACUCCUACGGGAGGCAGCAGUAGGGAAUCUUCCGCAAUGGGCGAAAGCCUGACGGAGCAACGCCGCGUGAGUGAAGAAGGUCUUCGGAUCGUAAAACUCUGUUAUUAGGGAAGAACAAAUGUGUAAGUAACUAUGCACGUCUUGACGGUACCUAAUCAGAAAGCCACGGCUAACUACGUGCCAGCAGCCGCGGUAAUACGUAGGUGGCAAGCGUUAUCCGGAAUUAUUGGGCGUAAAGCGCGCGUAGGCGGUUUUUUAGUCUGAUGUGAAAGCCCACGGCUCAACCGUGGGAGGGUCAUUGGAAACUGGAAAACUUGAGUGCAGAAGAGGAAAGUGGAAUUCCAUGUGUAGCGGUGAAAUGCGCAGAGAUAUGGAGGAACACCAGUGGCGAAGGCGACUUUCUGGUCUGUAACUGACGCUGAUGUGCGAAAGCGUGGGGAUCAAACAGGAUUAGAUACCCUGGUAGUCCACGCCGUAAACGAUGAGUGCUAAGUGUUAGGGGGUUUCCGCCCCUUAGUGCUGCAGCUAACUCAUUAAGCACUCCGCCUGGGGAGUACGACCGCGAGGUUGAAACUCAGAGGAAUUGACGGGGCACCCGCACAAGCGGUGGAGCAUGUGGUUUUAUUCGAAGCAACGCGAACAACCUCACCCAAUCUCGACAUCCUCUGACCCCUCUAGAGAUAGAGUCUCCCCCUGCGGGGGACAGAGUGACAGGUGAUGCAUGGUUGUCGCCAGCUCGUGUCGUGAUAGGUUGGGUUUAGUCCCGCAACGAGCGCAACCCUUAAGCUUGCUUGCCAUCAUUUAGCUGGCCACUCUAACUGGACUGUCACUGACCAACCGAAGGAAGGUGGACAUCACCUUCAAAUCGUCCCUGUCCCUUUUGAUUUGGGCCCACCCUAUGCUGCAAAGUGAAAUGGAAAGGGAAACCCAAAACCGCCAGCACAACCCAAACACAUGAUCCUUUUCCUAAAUGGAGAUCGGAAGCUCCACACUCGUGUCCCUUGA